rnacentral:piRNA from 1 species
CUAGCAAUCAAGUGAAGUCGUCGG